UUAGGUUAAAAAAUUUCGCUUUAAUAUUAAAAUUUACACAAUUUCCACUCUAUUAAUGAUAAUUUUUGCAAAUUCAUAUAAAUUAUGGUUGUUAAAACGUGUUACGUUAAAUUAGUGUUAAUUCCCCCGAAAUAAUCUUUGUGGGCGGCGUAAACGCUGUUUCGAAGCAAUAAAUAUCGAAAGGUUACCUUACUAAAUGAUUGCUGGAGAAAGUGACAUUACAGAUUGUAACGAUUUUAACACUGGUCAAGAGUGAUUAAAACAAUUAUUAAUCUCAUUUUUACACAAAGAAAUUAUUUUAAACAAUUAACAAGUUAAGUAAAGUUGAAUUUGACUUAUUUAAGAAAGGGAGUGUAUCCAAUCAUAUUUCAUUUUGCCAUCCAUGUUCUUUACAUUACUUUUAUUACAUUUAAAUUAUUAAAUUUUGUUUUUUAACAAAUAUUAGUAAUAUCUAUAAGCCAGUAUUUUGAUAAAUGCCUUUUACAGGAAACUGUAAAAUAUGUUGGUAAAAUAGAAAUCUGUACAAUUGUAUUAAUAAAUAAUAUUGUUGAAAAAAAA